AGAGGUAUGUGAAAUGGAAAGAAAGAGAUACAUGUACAUACAGAGACUGUUUGAAUUUAAGGUGUAAAAAUGAGCUACAUGUACCAGAAAAGAUGUUGAAAAUACCAGGGCUGGGCCUUUGUGGCUGCAUGCAAUUAAUUCUGAAAUACCAGGAAACAAGAUGUAGCUGCACAGCAGACAUGGCAGAUCUUUAAAUUGCUAAUAGGCAUCAACUCAACAUUUUCAAGCUGCAUAUAAAAGGAAAAGCAUUCCUUUUCAUAGAAUCCAAGAAUUUUUUUAACCAAGUCAAGUGGUUAUUAGACCUGUUAUCAUGAAAAUACUAACAUAUAUAUUAGUAUUUACAGUCACGUGUAAUAUCCCAAAUAUAAGAACUAUUUGGUAUGUGUGACUAUCUUUCUUCCCAUGUCAUGUUACAUGUAUGCUCAGAAUAUUUUAAUGUCACAAGGAUAUGAAAUGGAUAAAUGAUAUAUUGUCAACCAUUUAAAUAAAACAGACAGGCUCACAUAUAAAUUAACUGUCUAUGUGAAAGUUCAA